GGACAGUCUGCGGGCCGGACGUGAACUUGACACCGGCGGGACCGCGGGGGCACCCGGGGAUGACCUGCUCCAGGUGUGCGUUGAGAAGGUUUUUCCCAGCACAAGCAGUUUCCCAGUGAGCCUUGGGGUCCUGCUAGAAAUUUCCGGCGUCCUGUGUGUGAGAGAUUGCCAGUUUCAGAGACGGCGUGAGUGCAGGAAGGAGGCAGCAGGCAGUGCCUGCGUCCACGGCCACCUCUCCAACCCGAAGAUGGGAAGGGCUUUGAAAGCAGGACCUUGCCGCCUCCGUCGAGGGCAGAGCCGAUGACGUGGUGCGUGGCGAAGACACUAGCAAAGGCACAAGCCCCUGGUGACAGUUAAAAAUCCCUGCCUGUGAGCGUCGUUGAAAGCUAAGCACCAGGCGUGAAAAUGCCCAUCCACAGCACUCGUUAUUCUCAAACACGUGGAAAAAAUACACGCUUAUCACGUAAAAGUGCUAUGGCCUCAGGGUCUCAAGGUUAAGGUUGCACACUCCUUGUCUGAUCGCUUGUGUGACCCCUUUCUUUUG
rnacentral:lncRNA from 1 species